ACAGGUGAAAGAUCUUGAUACCACACAGGUAUAAUUACAAUCUGCAAACCUACUCAAGGGGAGUUGCAGGUGAAGAUAAUGAAGUCAGCCUCAUUCCAUUCCCUAAUCAGAUUCUCAGCCAAAGACAAACAGCAACAUAUGGGACUUUAAGGGUCUCGCUCUGUCACCCAGGCUGGAGUUCACUGGCAUGAUCAUGGCUCACUGCAUCCUCCAUCUCCCGGACUCAGAGACAGAGCUUCACCGUGUUGCCCAGUCUGGUCUUGAACAUCUGGACUCAAGUUAUCUGUCACCUUGGCCUCCCAAAGUGCUGGGAUUACAGGCAUGAGCCAAAGCACCUUGCUUAUUCUUUUGUUUACUAUUAAAAUAUAAGCAUUUUCUAGUCAAUAAAAAUUAACCAAGAACAUAA